rnacentral:lncRNA from 13 species
AGCCACAGCAGCAAGAGCGUAUUCACGUGAGGGUCUCCUCCCCUCCCCACUGCAACUCUGACCACAACAGAGCAUCGACGGAUCAUCCGUUUCAUUUGUUUUCCUCCUUGGAAUUUCAAAGCAAGAAAGCACAAUCAAGGCUGGGAACAUUCUCUCCAUAAAAGCAGCCAGGCAGAGCUGGAGUGCAAUGGAGUGAUCUCGGCUCACCACUACUUCCACCUCCCGGACUCAAGCAAUUCUCCUGCCUCAGCCUCUCAGGUACAGAGCCUGUGUGACCGUAGAGCUUCUAUGUCUACAAGCCGGCCUCACACACAGCUGACAUCCUGCCAGGAGACCGCUACAUUCCAGGGUUCCAAGAGAGGAUAUUAAUACAUGAACUAUGAACAGAGAGAAUCAGAAUGGCAGAUAGAGGAGCAUCUGAGCAAAGAAAGGAGAAAGGAAGAAAAGAGAGUCAGCAUGCCUUACAAAAUUAUUAAAACAUGGAAAAAGAAGUAUCUGGUACAGCAAAAUCCAUCAAAUAAGCACACGCAGGUCACAAAAGCGUGGAGGGGCUCGUUCUCCUGCAAUUCAGGAAUGAGGGAAAAGUAUCAGGAAAAGAAAAUACAGAUCUCUAAAUACAUGCACAGCUUAUCAAAAUCCUCCAAGAUCAUGCAGAAACUCUGGUGUAAGGAAGGAAAGAAGAGAAGCUCAGCAGUAGUGAGAGACCCAGCAGGUGACCUUAGAACAGGCCAGCAAAAGACACUCCUGAAGGUAAGAGGUCCCCUAAAAUGAAAAUAUUUUGCUGCCUGUGUGGCAACAAUGGGUUGGGAAACUGGGAAGAGCGAGGAUGGUGGAAUAAUUGUUUCUGUAUCUAUUUUGAACCAGGGCAAAGAUGACAUGGGGUAGAGAAUGACUCAUACAUAGUAUUAGAGAAAAACAGUUUGCUUCUAUGGCAGUGGGAAUUAUUGAACCUUCCAUCCCAGAGCCCUAGAUUGUCAGCCUGCUUUUCUCAGUUUCUCCCCCAACAGCCACACUCUCAGAAAUUCCUAUAAAAAUGACCUAAGAGAGUUCAACCUAUUUAAUGCUAAAUGUCAAAAAAGGGGACCCAACAAUGAUCUGACAAUAAUAAAUAAAUGUAAAAAAACUUGACA